GAGAAGCUGAAGAACAUGGGGGUCCUGGAGGGGUGGGCGAGGCACUGAAGGGAGCAUGGGUGCUGUGGACAAGAAGGGCAGCAGGAAUGGGAAGACCUAGUGGCUU
rnacentral:SRP_RNA from 14 species